rnacentral:misc_RNA from 1 species
AAGCUAGAUGCAAAGGGAAAAUGAAGGUUCAUACUGAACUCGGAUAGUAUCACAUGCUUUUCCAGUGUAGUAAAAUAAGACUACGAGUUUGAGGGUGACGAUCUUUCAAUCAGGCGAGCACAGACACGAACCCAAACAAACGGAAAGAGGAGGUCCAGAAAGACUUCAAAAUAUUCUCGAUUCAGUCUUAAACUUACUGCCAUUAACUUGUUGAGGCUCUGUAUUCGUAUCAAGAAACUUCCCGUUAUACCGAACCCAUAAUGAAUUUUGACUUAGAAGUUGUCGCUAAA